rnacentral:lncRNA from 1 species
AUUAGAUUUAUUGAAUGAGAAAAACUUGAAUUACAAGCCCCAUGAAAGGAGAAAUUAACACUCCAUGAUAGGAGGAGAAACACUCCACAAAGGGAGGAAAUAAAACUCCAUUAAAGGAGGAAAAUCAACUCCAUAGAAGGAGGAAAUGAAACCUCCAUGGAAGGAGGGAUUGGAGAGAAACUACUACAAUCCAAUGAGUGAAAUGCAUACACAGUACCUUAUUUAUAGAGAAAAAGACUAGAGUAAUUAUCUAACUAAUUGGCUAAUCACCUAACUAAUUAACAGCCUAACAACUACAGCUGGGGAUUGAAGUUCUGUUAAGAUGGAAUCUGGUGUCCGUGGAAUUAGCUGGAAUCUGGUGGAAGCUUCUGGAUUUUUGGUGCACGUGUAUUCCAACACACCCCCCUCAAGAUGGACUAGGAGAUCCAUCUUGAAGAUUAAGGAGUGAAAUAUGAAGCAUACACUGAUCUUUUGCUGGUGAUCUUUUGCAGCAACCAAAAUCUGUUUGCAUGAGUCUUCUAUCAGGAGUACCCAGUAGGACUCGCAGUUUAAUUCUAAUCUUCUACUCAGGCUCCAUUUUAUCAGAAUCUGCACCAACACUCAGCGUUGAAGCUGUAGGAGCCUCAUCCUCAGAAGUGGCAUAGGACUCCAGAAUCAUAUGUGAACCGAAUAGAAAAUACUUCAAUAGAAGAUAUCACCAGAUCAAAUAAGUGAACAACUAGGGGGAAACAAAAUAAAGCCCGAUGGAUCUUCAAGUUUGCAAAUAAUAAUGCUAGAAGGUGCAAAAGCCCCAACAGACGUUGUUGACUCUGAGAGAAUUGGAGCAGGCCCGCUGGAAGGCAACCUGUACGUCCAGUAUGUUAUUGAAACCAAUCCUUGAUCUGAAGCCAAAGUUAUCUCCAGACUAACUGGUGGAUGAAUGAUGAUCGGACGUGUAUGCAUGACAAUGACAACGGAUCAGUAGAAGCUAAUUUUUGCUGGGAACCAACUUGAGGAUGGCCAGCUCUUAUUGAAUGCUGAAAGGACAAUCAUAUUCGAGUAGAAUUCUGGAAAACAAAAGCAACAGGAAGCAAUUUCUGCAGCAGCAAAUGGAAGCAAAAAAAAAUGCUCUGAUACCAUAUUAGAUUUAUUGAAUGAGAAAAACUUGAAUUACAAGCCCCAUGAAAGGAGAAAUUAACACUCCAUGAUAGGAGGAGAAACACUCCACAAAGGGAGGAAAUAAAACUCCAUUAAAGGAGGAAAAUCAACUCCAUAGAAGGAGGAAAUGAAACCUCCAUGGAAGGAGGGAUUGGAGAGAAACUACUACAAUCCAAUGAGUGAAAUGCAUACACAGUACCUUAUUUAUAGAGAAAAAGACUAGAGUAAUUAUCUAACUAAUUGGCUAAUCACCUAACUAAUUAACAGCCUAACAACUACAGCUGGGGAUUGAAGUUCUGUUAAGAUGGAAUCUGGUGUCCGUGGAAUUAGCUGGAAUCUGGUGGAAGCUUCUGGAUUUUUGGUGCACGUGUAUUCCAACAG